UACGGGAGUGGCAAGCGUUAUCCGGAAUUAUUGGGCGUAAAGCGCCUGUAGGUGGUUUAAUAAGUCUGUUGUUAAAGACUAGGGCUCAACCCUAGGAAAGCAAUGGAAACUACUAGACUAGAGUAUGGCAGGGGUAGAGGGAAUUUCUAGUGUAGCGGUGAAAUGCGUAGAUAUUAGAAAGAACACCGGUGGCGAAAGCGCUCUACUGGACCAUUACUGACACUCAGAGGCGAAAGCUAGGGUAGCAAAAGGGAUUAGAUACCCCUGUAGUCCUAGCCGUAAACGAUGGAUACUAGAUGUUGUGUAUUAUAUACAGUAUCGUAGCUAACGCGUUAAGUAUCCCGCCUGGGGAGUACGCUCGCAAGGGUG
rnacentral:rRNA from 1 species